rnacentral:rRNA from 1 species
CAGGCUGCAACUCGCCUGCAUGAAGUCGGAAUCGCUAGUAAUCGCGGAUCAGCACGCCGCGGUGAAUACGUUCCCGGGCCUUGUACACACCGCCCGUCACACCACGGAAGUUGGGAGUACCCAAAGUAGGUUGCCUAACCGCAAGGAGGGCGCUUCCUAAGGUAAGACCGAUGACUGGGGUGAAGUCGUAACAAGGUACC